GCCGGUGUGAUGGAAUUGGCAGACGUGCCGGACUCAAAAUCCGGUGGUGGCGACACCGUAUCGGUUCGACCCCGAUCACCGGCACCA
rnacentral:tRNA from 1 species